AGAGUUUGAUCCUGGCUCAGAACGAACGCUGGCGGCGUGCCUAACACAUGCAAGUCGAACGAGAAAGCUCUUCGGAGUGAGUAUAGUGGCGAACGGGUGAGUAAUACAUAGGAACGUACCGAUAAGUGGGGAAUAACAGACGGCUGCUAAUACCGCAUGUGGAGUUAUCUAAAGGUGGCCUCUUCUUGAAAGCUACCGCUUAUCGAUCGGCCUAUGUCCCAUUAGCUAGUUGGCGGGGUAAUGGCCCACCAAGGCUACGAUGGGUAGCUGGUCUGAGAGGAUGAUCAGCCACACUGGGACUGAGACACGGCCCAGACUCCUACGGGAGGCAGCAGUAGGGAAUUUUGCACAAUGGACGAAAGUCUGAUGCAGCAACGCCGCGUGUGUGAAGAAGGCUCUUGGGUUGUAAAGCACUUUCGACAGGGAAGAAGGGACCAGUUGCGAAUAGCCUCUGGUUUUGACGGUACCUGCAGAAGAAGCACCGGCUAACUCCGUGCCAGCAGCCGCGGUAAUACGGAGGGUGCAAGCGUUGUUCGGAAUUACUGGGCGUAAAGCGCGCGUAGGCGGGUUUUUAAGUCGAUUGUGAAAUCCCGGGGCUCAACCCCGGACGUGCAGUCGAAACUGGAAAUCUUGAAUACUUGAGAGGUUGGCGGAAUUCCCGGUGUAGGAGUGAAAUCCGUAGAUAUCGGGAGGAACACCCGAGGCGAAGGCGGCCAACUGGUGAUGUAUUGACGCUGAGGCGCGAAAGCAUGGGGAGCAAACAGGAUUAGAUACCCUGGUAGUCCAUGCCGUAAACGAUGAUUACUAGGUGCUCGGAGAACUAACUCUUUGGGUACCGCAGCUCACGCAUUAAGUAAUCCGCCUGGGGAGUACGGUCGCAAGGCUAAAACUCAAAGGAAUUGACGGGGGCCCGCACAAGCGGUGGAGUAUGUGGUUUAAUUCGAAGCAACGCGCAGAACCUUACCUGGCCUUGACAUUCUAGGACAACCCCAGAGAUGGGGCUUUCACUUCGGUGACCUAGGGACAGAUGCUGCAUGGCUGUCGUCAGCUCGUGUCGUAAGAUGUUGGGUUAAGUCCGGCAACGAGCGCAACCCUUGUCCUUAGUUGCCAGCCUUAAGUUGGGCACUCUAAGGAUACUGCCGGUGACAAACCGGAGGAAGGUGGGGACGACGUCAAGUCAUCAUGGCCCUUACGCCUAGGGCUACACACGUACUACAAUGGCGAGUACAGAGGGUCGCGAAACCGCGAGGUGAAGCUAAUCCCAAAAACGCUGUCUCAGUCCGGAUCGGAGUCUGCAACUCGACUCCGUGAAGUUGGAAUCGCUAGUAAUCGCAAAUCAGCACGUUGCGGUGAAUACGUUCCCGGGCCUUGUACACACCGCCCGUCACACCAUGGGAGUGGUCAUAACCAGAAGCAGGUGAGCUAACUUCGGAGGCAGCCUACCAAGGUUGUGGUCGUGAUUGGGGUGAAGUCGUAACAAGGUA
rnacentral:rRNA from 1 species